UUCCUCCUGAUGUUUUGGAAGGAAACUCUGACGACAAGGUUGCAUGUCAAAUGAUCCUUGAUAAGAUGGGAUUGACUGGUUAUCAGGUAGGCAAGACAAAGGUCUUCCUAAGAGCUGGUUAGAUGGCCGAGUUGGAUGCUAGAAGAGCAGAGGUACUUGUAAAUGCAGCGAGAACCAUACAGAGGCAAAUUCGUACCCAUAUGGCACGCAAAGAGUUUGUUGCAAUACGUAAAGCUGCUAUUCAAUUACAAUCCUAUGUGCGAGGUGGCAUUGGGUGAAAAAAGUGCUUAUCUAACUUCCCAUCAUUCAUACAUACAUAAAGGAGAGGCAUCAAGGCAUUGGGGAGUGACAACGAAAGUAAAGGCUGUUGUUGAUGCAACUUCUGCUGGCAUCUUCAUUGUCAUCACAAAGUGUGUUCUUCAAGACUUGGUUGGUUUCAACAUUUUACUAAAUUUUGUUAGAAAACUAGUUCUGUUGAUGUAAUGACUUUGUUGGAUAUAUGGAUGAAUGUAUCGGAUUUUAACAUAAAUGAAUGUGUUUUGGAUGUGAUGUCA